GGGGUUCCGGACGUGCCUAGAGAUAGGUAUUCCCUUGUGGCCUGUGUGCAGGUGGUGCAUGGCUGUCGUCAGCUCGUGUCGUGAGAUGUUGGGUUAAGUCCCGCAACGAGCGCAACCCUUGUCCUAUGUUGCCAGCGGGUAAUGCCGGGGACUCGUAGGAGACUGCCGGGGUCAACUCGGAGGAAGGUGGGGAUGACGUCAAGUCAUCAUGCCCCUUAUGUCCAGGGCUUCACACAUGCUACAAUGGCCAGUACAGAGGGCUGCGAAGCCGUAAGGUGGAGCGAAUCCCUUAAAGCUGGUCUCAGUUCGGAUUGGGGUCUGCAACUCGACCCCAUGAAGUCGGAGUCGCUAGUAAUCGCAGAUCAGCAACGCUGCGGUGAAUACGUUCCCGGGCCUUGUACACACCGCCCGUCACGUCAUGAAAGUCGGUAACACCCGAAGCCAGUGGCCUAACCUUUUGGAGGGAGCUGUCGAAGGUGGGAUCGGCGAUUGGGACGAAGUCGUAACAAGGUAGCCGUACUGUUU
rnacentral:rRNA from 1 species